rnacentral:rRNA from 1 species
AUUGAACGCUGGCGGCAUGCCUUACACAUGCAAGUCGAACGGCAGCACGGGUGCUUGCACCUGGUGGCGAGUGGCGAACGGGUGAGUAAUACAUCGGAACGUACCUUAUCGUGGGGGAUAACGCAGCGAACGCUGUGCUAAUACCGCAUACGCCCUGAGGGGGAAAGCGGGGGAUCGCAAGACCCCGCGCGAUUAGAGCGGCCGCUGCCUGAUUAGCUUGUUGGUGGGGUAAAAGCCCACCAAGGCGACGAUCAGUAGCUGGUCUGAGAGGACGAUCAGCCACACUGGGACUGAGACACGGCCCAGACUCCUACGGGAGGCAGCAGUGGGGAAUUUUGGACAAUGGGGGCAACCCUGAUCCAGCAAUGCCGCGUGAGUGAAGAAGGCCUUCGGGUUGUAAAGCUCUUUUGUCAGGGAAGAAACACCGGCUCUAACACAGUCCGGGAAUGACGGUACCUGAAGAAUAAGCACCGGCUAACUACGUGCCAGCCGCCGCAGUAA